GCACAGAGGAGCUUGCUCCUCGGGUGACGAGUGGCGGACGGGUGAGUAAUGUCUGGGAAACUGCCCGAUGGAGGGGGAUAACUACUGGAAACGGUAGCUAAUACCGCAUAACGUCGCAAGACCAAAGUGGGGGACCUUCGGGCCUCACACCAUCGGAUGUGCCCAGAUGGGAUUAGCUUGUAGGCGGGGUAACGGCCCACCUAGGCGACGAUCCCUAGCUGGUCUGAGAGGAUGACCAGCCACACUGGAACUGAGACACGGUCCAGACUCCUACGGGAGGCAGCAGUGGGGAAUAUUGCACAAUGGGCGCAAGCCUGAUGCAGCCAUGCCGCGUGUAUGAAGAAGGCCUUCGGGUUGUAAAGUACUUUCAGCGGGGAGGAAGGUGUUGAGGUUAAUAACCUCAGCAAUUGACGUUACCCGCAGAAGAAGCACCGGCUAACUCCGUGCCAGCAGCCGCGGUAAUACGGAGGGUGCAAGCGUUAAUCGGAAUUACUGGGCGUANAGCGCACGCAGGCGGUCUGUUAAGUCAGAUGUGAAAUCCCCGGGCUUAACCUGGGAACUGCAUUUGAAACUGGCAGGCUUGAGUCUCGUAGAGGGGGGUANAAUUCC
rnacentral:rRNA from 1 species